rnacentral:rRNA from 1 species
GCCGAGGACAAGCUUCUUUGCGAGUGUUGACGAGACAUUGGACAAGACCCAAAGACGGGCGCCGAGCAAAAGCAUUCGACCUUUUGGACUCGUGUGCACCGCGAAUUUCAUCGCAAGAAGUUUCCACCUUACCAAUUUGUGAGCACGCGCGGGUGGGUCUCCAUUUCCAAGCGGUGGAGGGUGAUCCAACAAGAGUGCAACAAGUUUUGCGCCACCCUUGAGAGCGUCAAGGCCCGCCCCGUGAGCGACAUCGGCGUGCAAGACAUGGUAUGA